ACACAUCAUGUACUCCCGUAGCUCGGAGGCGUCUGCGGGUGCUUCUAAUAGCAUCAAACACUUAGUGCUACCAAAUUUUUCACCAUUAGAUCUAUCUUUUUCAUUAUUUCCAUCUCUUGGAUCAAUACUAUUCCACCAACCCCCUCUAAACCCUAGAAGGGACCAUUAUCAUCCUAUCCCAUAACCCGUUAUCCAAGGACUACAAACUUAGAAGUAAAAAGGUCCAAGUAUGUCUAAAUGAAUUCUAGCUCAAUUCUAUACAUGUCCAUGUGAGUGUGCAUACAUGCACAUGUGUGUAUUACAAAUUUCUACUAUUUGGAUUUAGGUCAAUUCAAAUGUGAAGAGGUUUAUAUUUUGUAAAUUUUAUUUAUGAGAUUAGGAUUCUAAUUCUCUAAUUUCUUCCAACUUUUCACCCAGUAGUAGGGUUGAUAAUCUAAUAUGUUGUUCGUAGCUCGGCUCAUUAAUAAAUGAGCCAAACACUACUUAGAUUUUUUAAUAAUAUUCUAACGAGCCAGUCCUUGUUGGACCUGUUGACAGCCCUACCUAAAAGUAUAUAAAGUGGUGGUUGAAUGAUUGAAUCGCGUCAUCGAAGAUUCUAAGGUAUUGUAAGAUUAAGAGGAAUUUCACUCAUAGUAAUGAAAUUACUGGGAAUUAUAUAAUUCUUGCAUUUAGUUUGCACAAUUAAUCGUCUCUUUGAAUUUUACUAGGAAUAUAAAACUCCAGUAUUAUAGACAGUAAUGCAUAGUUCCACAAUUAUUUUCAUGCUCAUUUUUUUAAACUUAUAUAUUGCUAUUUGAUUUUAAAAUUUGAAUUCCAAAUUUGACUUUUAUUUUUAAAAUUUGAAUUGAAAACUUGAUUUUGAAUUUAAAAUUUAAAAUUUUAUUUUCAAAAUCAGAAUCAACAAUCAAAUUUAAAAAUUAAUUUGAAAUUUGAAAUUUGAAUUCAAAGUUUGAAUUUGAAUUUGAAAUCUAAUUCAUAAUCUUAAUUUAAAUUUAAAAUUUGAAUUUCGAAUUUGAAAAUUGAUUUAAUUUAAUUUGAAAUUAAAUUCAUAAUUUGAAUUUGAACUUAAAAUUUGAAUUCAACUUCAAAAUCUAAAUUGAAUUCGCAAUUCGAAUAACAAAAUCUGAAUUUUAAAAUUCAAAUUCAAAGUCAAAAUUUAAAUUCAAAAAUUGAAUCCAAAAUCAAAAUUUAGUAUUUGAGUAUUGAAGUCAAAAUCCAAAUUUGAAUUUUAAAUUAAAUUCAAAAUGUGAAUUUAAAUUUAAAAUUUAAAAUUUAAAUUUAAAAACAAUUAAAGUGUAAAUUUGUGAUUUAAAUUAAAACCGAGGACAAUUUUAAAAAUUCUAUAAAUAUUUUCAGAUUUCCCGCACUCCUUAACAGACAUAUACCCAUCCCUGUUCUCCGUUUGGAGGGAAUUACUGAGCAAAUCGGUGAAUGACAUUACCUACAUACAAUAAUCUACGAUGGAUUUUUAAUAAUCAAUUACAGAUAACGCGAAUCAAACUCUCCCAAAGUUAUAUGAACCGUAUGUAAUAUGCAGAAGCUUGGGGAAAACUUAAAAGUUCCAUUUUUAAAAGUAAGAUGGAAAACUUGGCAGGUAAAUAUUUCUUAUCUCUGAUGACAAUGAAACUAAUAAAGACUUGAUGGCCAUGCCCAUGACUAUACACAGACCAGACCUGACAUACAUCAGACAAGCCAAAUCUAUGUUGGAUAAGCCUCUAAAUUAUGCCCAUGACUAGUCCAUGCUGCCAUAAAGGGAGCAUACAUUGUUUUCAAAUUAAGAAUCUCUCAUGCUUGAACUUAUACUAGUCAAUUAGGAUUCCUCCUCUAGUAAGAACCAUAGUUAGUUAAUUCGCGAAUUAUUCGCGAAUUAUUCGCGAAUUUUUGAUAUUCCGAAUAAAACGUCCGUUUUCGAAUUUUUGAAAAAAAUUCGAAAAAAAUUGCGUUUUAUUGGAUAAAAGUAAUUAUUCGCGAAUUAAACGGGUUCGCGCAUAAUUCGGCUCAAAAAAAACGUCGCCGUUGCUGCGACUGCGAUGCGGUCGCGGGCCUCGUGCAUGGCCCAAAACAGAAAAGAGUUCGCCUCUCAAAAAAAAAAGAAAAAAAGAAAAAAAAAACCUUCUCUGAAAUCGCCCCCUCCCAGUCUCCCAAACUCCCAGCUCCACCCCCACCCCCACCCCUCCCAAAAAAGGGUUUGCCCUAACUUCUCAACCCUGCGGCGGUGCGGCCCUGCCACCGACCCGUGCGGCGGUCGCGGUCCCUUCCCCUCCCCCUCUUCCCUUCCGGCUGCUCGCCGAACGCAAUCGGAAGCCCUCCUCUUCAGAAAUCGAAGAUCGAGUUCUUCACUCUUCAGAAAUCGAAACCCUCCUCGUCGCCUCUUCCUCUUCCGCUUCCGCUAUCCAACGAUAUAUAGAUCAGUAAUAAGGUGGUUCUUUACAAACCAAGUACGAUUUGAGUUUUCAUUCUUCAAAGCAAAAGUUGGAAGCUUUUAGUCCAUCUGAUGGAUACUUUUUUAUACACAAAUGGCUCGAGUGCUUAAAUUGAAUGUGUCCAUUCUCUGUUAUGCACCUUAAAUUGUUAAGAACUUAAGACCCAAACAUAGAGCUAAAUAAUGUUAAUUAACCUAGGGACCAUGCCUACUUUAGACUUUAGAAUUUAGGAACUCUUGUAUUUUACAUUUAAAUAUAGAUUAUCUUGAUCUCUUAUUUGGUUAAUUAUUUAUUUUUUUUUAGGCAUAAUAUAGUUUAUUAUUUUUUUAUUUAAUUUUGUAGCUUUUUAUUCUUAUAUUCUUAAAAAAUAUGAAUAUUUAUGCUAAUAGCAUAAAUUUUGAGAGGAAAAAAAUUUAAUUUAAUAGCCGAAUUUUUGAUCCCGAAUUUUUAAUUGGUGAACGUAUAAUAUCCGUAUAAAUCACGUAUCCGAAUAAUUGGCGAAUUCGUUUUUUAGCCGUUUUUUUCAACGAAUUUAAAAAUUAGAAGACGAAUUUUAUCCGAAUUAUACCCGUACCGAAUUUUUGCCGAAUCCGAAUUAACUAACUAUGGUAAGAACAAGGAGCCCAAUCAUGUUUCUCCUACCACAUACCUUGUAACCAUGCAAUGGUGUCAUCAAUGUCUCCUCCCAUUCCUCAACACCUCCAAUUAAUAAUUCCAAUAAGGUGGCACAUUAAUUCCACCAAGUUUUGAGACCUCCCAACAUUCUAAUUAAGGACAAGCCACAUGUAACACCCAUACAUUCAAUUUCUUUGCAGCUGCUAAUUUGUUCCAAUUAAGUGAUUUUUGAAUAGUCUAGUGAAGUAAUAGUGCUCAUAAUAAUAUUUCGAUUUAUUUAAAUAUCCUAUUAACGGCUUCUCACUAUAUGUAUGGCGGAAGCUGUACUAAAUUCAAAUUGAAGCUUCUUUAUAUGCUAGGUCCGUGAUGGAGCUGAUAUAUAUAUAUAUGGGCAUCCUAACAUAGUAAAAACUCCAUUUAUAUAUAUAUAUAUAUAUAUAUAUAUAUAUAUAUAUAUAUAUAUAUAUAUAUAUAUAUAUAGUGUAUUAAAUCAAUGCGUUUUUUACUAAUUUUUAUCACAAAGAAGCUGUUUCAGAAGUCAGUAAAAAUAACACUUCAUCUCCAUCUAUAUAUAGAGUAUAUUCAAUCCUUUUGUGGUGGAAGAGCUUCACCACUGGAGCCCAUAGUUUGUCUUUCGUGAUCAAGCAAGUAAUUAUCUAUUUGAUAAUGAUAUUUUAAUAUUUCUUAUUAGCAUUCUCCUUAACAUCUGAGCCCCAGACUUCUAAUUUGAACUCAAAAUUUUCUACUCAAAUAUCACAUAAAACAACUAAUUUUCUAUAUAUAAACUUAAGCUUCCAAUUAACUACAAGAAAAUCACAUUAUAACGACAUCUUCUAGACAAUCCUUGUAGAAAAUGUCCUUACAAAAUAGCAAAUACCGGCAUUCAAAAAGUGUCAUCAUAUGAACAGUUUAUUCUGUCAAACUGAUUUACUGAAGAAUAAACUUUACUAUUAUUUUUAAUUCUCUACUUUUCAAAAAAUUCAGACAUUUUAAAAUAUAGAAAUAUAUUUUACCAAUAUUUGGCAUAAGCAUCGGUAUAUAAUUAAGUGGCAACUUCUCAUUUGUCGACACUUUCAAAUGUGACAGUAGACUAUUCUGCAACACUUUUAACCAUCCAUAAAUGCCGAAAAAGAUCCUUUUCUGCGUUUGGUUCGGGUAUAAGUAAGAACUGCUAGUUCUAGGGAUAGGUACAAGUUCAGGUAUAAGCAGGAACUAGACCAAUUUUACGUUUGGAUGAAAAUUGGGUUGUUUCUAGAAAUAAGGUAAAUAGUGUUUGGAUGAUUAGAGUGGAAAAAGAGGAAUAAGUGUUAUAAUUUGAAAUUAAAAUUAUAUUAUGUAAUUAAUUAACAUAAAAAUAUUACUUAAAAUAAAUAAAAAAUUAAUUAUAAAUAAUAAUUAAAUUAAUAAUAAUUAAUUAUAANCUAUUAAUAAUAAUCUAUUAAUAAUAAUAAUUAAAUAAUUAUUAAUAAUUAAUAAUUAUUAAUUAAUAUUUAUUAUUUAAUUAUUAUUAUUAAUAGAUUAAUAAUUAUAAAUUAAUAUUUAUUAUUUAAUAAAUUUAAUAAAUUAAUAAUUUCAUUAUUUAUUACUAAAUUUAUAUAAUUAAUCUAAUUAAUUAUUAAAUGACGGUAAUUUUAAUUUAAAUCUAAAAUUAAUUAGAACAAGAGUAGAUCCUUGUUAGAACAAAGUCCUUUGCCCACCUUGUCGUCAAGGUCAGAAUAUGGUCGAUCAAGGUCUAAAGGCCCUUGAUGACAAGGGCCCUCGGUUUGUAACGCAAACCCUUGUUUCCCCCCUUGUUCCCGAAUAAGGGGGGGAACAAGGGCUUGGUUUGCGAUGGAAUUACAACGCAAACCAAGCCCAUAGUCAGUCUAGAAGAACAAAAUCCCUAAACAUAAGUUCGUAAGAACAUAUUCGUCAUUAAUCUAGUCUAAAAAGCAAAGUUUGCGCGAUCAAUGUCAGAUACUCGCGUAGUACUACAACUACCUGCUCUGUCACUGUUCACGCUAAGUGGAUACGUACGUAAGGUUUUAGUUGCUUAGAGGGGUAGCAGCCAAGUCAUGAAGUGCACGCGCGUAUCUCACACUUACUCACUUUGUAAAAAAUGAUGUGGUUUGCCUUCAAAAUCUUCGUUAAGUUUAAUGGCCGUUUCGAUGUUUUUUCACGGCUAUUUUCAAAAAAGCCCGUGUUAACACACGCUCAGUACUCUCCUGCGUCCUCUUGUUGUUUUAUUAAGAGUACGUUUUGUUACGGGUUUCUCUAAGGUUGUACUAGGUUUCUCACACCAUAACCCUCUCCUUCUAAGGUACGACGUGCCAGCCAAAAGUUACGUACGUACAUAGUACAAUCCCUCCGAGAAUCGACCACCCUAUUAUCUAUUAUAUGUAGGUUGUUCAGUUAAAGAAAUUUAUUAAGACCGAUCACUUCCCCCAUUUAUCUCCACCGAAAAGAAAAGAAAAUAUUAAUAAAAAUUAAACUGAAAGAAAGAGAUGUAGGACCUUCAAUUCAAUCUAGUUCUUCAAGUUUCAGUAAUAAUUAUUAAUAAUUAAUUAUAAAUAAUAAAUUAUUUAAUUAUUUAAUUAUUAAAAUAAUAAAUAAUAAUUUAAAUAUAUUAAUCAGAUUAAUUAAUAAUUUACUGCCAUUAAAAUUAAAUUUAGAUUUUAAUUAAUCUUGUUCUCAUCCAAGAACAAUCUUGUUUCAGGAAACGGGUGGAACAGCAGUUCCAGUCUUAUACCAGCUACUUCCAGAUUUCCGGAAACUACUGUUCCCGGGAGCCAAACAUACCGUUUGGGAACAAAGGGGGGAACAAGGGCUUAUUCCCCCCUUGUUCCCCAACCAAACGCCACCUUAAUGUUAACUUUCUUGUAGCAGGCAAAUAUUCUUGUUUUAACAAUUUAUAUUCAAACAUUCUUAGAUAAGACUAAUUAAUCAGAUUAUUCUAUCAAACGCGCUAGUUACAGUCUAUGAGCGCAUCAUGAUGUUGAUGGACGAGACAGUGACAAGUGCGAUUCACCUAUGCAUGCAUUCCAAAAUCAACGAAUCUCCCCAUCGUCGGUUCAGUACUUCACGUGCGCGCAUAGAGUGUGAAUGAGUGAAACAUUUUUUACUACACCAAACGGAAGUUUUAGAAGCAAUUCAAAUUACCGGCAAAGCUACAAAAAAGUGCCGAUAAAAGUUUUUUCGGGCACAAUUGUGUGCGAGUCAUGAGAGGACGCAGGAGAACAACAAAAUAAUUCUCAUGCAAAACAAUGCCCAAAGAGAUUCCAACAUGAUCCAAAGAGUGUGGUAUUGGGAGAGGAAGAUUCCAUGCUGCACGGUCGGUUUUCAAUGCAUGCAUGUAUCAUGUUAGGGAGGCUCUUAGCUGGUGGGAUAAUAGAUAAUAUACAUCCAACAAGUCAAUUUCUUUAAAUAAUUCUGGCUAGUGAAGGGGGUAAAUAGAGGUGGCUUUUCUUUUCUUUUAUAAUUAUUUUUAAUUUGACUUUCUUUCUCUACAUCCUGGAAGUUAAGUUAGAUCAAGAAGUUCAAAGUCAUUUGAACAAUUUUCUUUGCUUGGUCAAGUUAGUUAAUUUGACGGAAUUAAGACCAAAACAGGUUAUGGCUCAGCUCUUGAUGAGCCGAUUGUCCGCUGGUUUCAUUCCCGACCAGCAAUACAGCUUGAUACUCGAUCAUUUGCAUUUUCACUGUUGCUUGCCUGGUCAUUCCCCGGAGACCGAGAAACAGCACGGUUGCGCAGAUUCAUGGCACUAUCGCCCGCCAUAAUAUGAAAUAAAUAUGGAAUUACCUAACUUGUGUCCCACAUGGCGUGCCAAAAAUUGUUACGAGCCGAUUUCCUAGACCGUUGACCCAAUCAAAAGUCCUCCUUCGGUAAGCAUGCCAGAAGGUAAAGCGGCUACUGAUGAUGACCCUCGAAGAUAGCAUCCACUAUUAAAUCAAGCGAUUCAACUGAUGAGGGAUUGGAUCAGCUGAGUUCAAUUUCACACAGUAUUUUUUGGUUCGGCUGAAUCAGCCGAGUCUAGGAACUGCACAAUAUUUUCUGGUUCGGCUGAAGAGCUGCUUAUAUAUUGUUUAAAAAUAGAAAAUAUUUACAAAUGAGGGUGCGCCGGUAUGACAUACAAUCUCAGGAGAUUUCUAACCUAAAAAUUACUCCUAGAAAAGAUAGUAAAUACAGAAAAAAAAAGAAGAAAUUAUAGAUAGACUACUCCUAGAAAGCGGAAAAAUGCAAGAAAAAGGAAAUUAGUCUUCUUGUUUCUCAGGGAAAAAAAACUCCUCUAUCAGACGUCUUUUAUCUAUUUAUAAUUCACCCCGUUGUUAUUCAAUUAUUCUCAUGAUCGGGGACAUCCCUCAUUUCACCGGCCACUACUAGCCGAUCUUAACCGCAUAAACCUUAACUGUUUUUCGGUUUUCGGUACAUUCUUUGCUGCUCCCGAUGCACCAUAUGUCGCUUAUCCCUAGCUUCAAAGGCUAUGCUUGCGGUGCAUCCUUGUUCACCAUGUGGCGCGAUUUUUAUCGCGGUCAGUUCCAUUAUAAAUCGAGUGAUGUAAAGAGACCCCAACACCAUUUAAAGAGGAGGGCAUCGUUCAUCAUACCCAAAUCUGUAAUCCCCUGACCCCUUUCCUUCUUACUCUUACAAUUUUUCAAAAUAUCAUAUGCGCUCUACCAUUUGAAUCCAACCUCCCUUUCUAGAAAAAGUUCUCCCAUAGUACUUUGAUACGUCUUGCAACACAUUUUGGCACCUUUCAGAUAGAGAAUGUGUAGAGGUAGAGUGGAGAGGACCGAGUUCACCAGUGUUAGUCUGUCGCCUCUUGAAACAAGUUUUACGUGUCAAUUGUUGAUUCUUAUUUGUAUUUUAUUGAUAAUCUCUGUCCAAUCUUCUUUCUUUAAUGACCUCUUCAUCAGUUCUCACUCAUUAGUUGUCCUCCUCUACGGCACUCUUGAUUUUAGUUACAAGAAAUUCUAAGAAAAGAACUAAUAUAAAUAAUAAAAUAAUUUUACCAACCGUCUCUAUAGCAAGUGGCAAAGGGCUUGAUUGUUGGUACUCGAGGUCUCAAGUUCGAAUCCUAGUUGAUUCACAUUUUCAGCUAAGUUUAUUUCUAAAUGAAAUAAAUGAAGCGGGUAGCGUACUACCUAUCUCUCUCAAAAAAAAAAAAAACAAUAAAAUAAAUUUAAAGAAUUAUUACAUAUAUAAAUAUCCAACUUUGAAAGAUUUAUGCGCAAUUAGAGUUUUAGACCAGGAUCGCGUGACAUUAAUAUGAAAUUUGAGAAAGUUCUGUAUAUUUAAAUAAGUUUUCGAAAACUUACAUUCAAAAAACUCCUUCAAUAUUUUCUUGAGAAAAGUAUAAAGUGUAGACGUUGGGCUUUUUUUUUUUUUUUUGAGAGAUAGGUAGCAUGCUACCCGCUUCGUUUAUUUUAUUUAGAAAUAAACUUAGCAAGAAAUGUGGAUCAACUAGGAUUCGAACUUGGGUCUCGGGUACCAACCACCAAGCCCUUUGCCAUUUGCUCUAGGGACGGUCGGUGUAGACAUUGGGCUUUAUACAUAUAGAAAGUUUUCUUCAGAACUAUGAAAUUAAAUCAAUAUUAUGUACUUUUCUUUGUAAGAAAACAAAUUAACCAAUUGUUUGGGAAAUAAAUUCUUUAGCACUUUCUCAAAGCAAAAAUAAGCUUGUAGAAAUUAAUCAAUAAAAAAGAAGGCCAUACAUAAAAUGUGUGAUAUGCGUCCGUAUAAAUAAAUUUGGAAUUUGAUCAUAAAGAUGCAUUUCACAAGAUAAGUACAUACGGAUUAUUCUAUAAGACUUUUAUCCGUAUAGCAAAAUAAUUUAUAAACAUAGAACGCGCAAUAAUAUGUACAAUGAUACACCUAAAAACCACCAUGCUGAAAAAUAAAAUAAAGUUUUUACAAAUCUUAUAAGAAAUAUUAUUAUGUUGCAAUUGGACAGCAUGCAUUAGCAUUAUUGCCAAGGUCUAUAUAUACCACCAGGCACCAGGCACCAGGCACCAGGGUAUAUAUAGUAUUAGGACGUCGAGGCCACCUACGAAAGGACCAAAACGAACUCCUAAGUGUAGCGAGAGGUAGUAGAAAUUGAGAGAGAUAUGGCUUGGUCCGCCGAGAACGCUACUAAAGCUUACCUCCGAACCCUCAACCUGGUACGUACGCUAGUAUCUCUCUCUCUCUCUCUCUCUGGCAGUGUUGUGUUAUUAGGAGGUGCAAUCAAGCUUUUCUAUGUACUAAAAACAAAAACUCUAUAGCAGAAGUGGCAACUUCGGACCAAAGUUUCUACUUUUAUUAGAGCUUAGAAUCUUAUAUAUUUCAGGUUUUUAUUGCUGUAAAAACUUCAAGCCCUACCCUUAAGCGUGCGUAUUUUGGGAUCUACGAAGCAAGCGUUUAUGUAUAUUAUUAGAAGCAAAAAGUCCUAGCCGAAUUAGAAACUUUUUAUUUUAGAAUCUUUUUUUAGAUGUUUACCAAAGUAAAAACUUCAAGAUUUACCCUUGAACAUGCAAGCUUUUUUUCUUUCCCAAACAUAUGUUGGAAAAAUAUCUUUUUAAAACUCUAGUAAAAUAUUCUUUGAAAACUAGAAGUAAGGUGUUUACUCGAGAGCUUCACUCUCGUAUUCUUCCAAAUAACUAAUUUGAGAAUGAAGUAGUAUAUAAAAAAAAGCAAUAUAUCUUUGGUUUUCAAUGUGGGAUUAAACCUCACAUGUGGGAACCAAAGUACGGGCUUCUAGACAAGACCCAUAAAAUGUUGGGCUGCCCAGAAAGCCCAAGGGCUAAAUAGAAGUUUUAAAUCACUAUUUUUAAAAAUUAAUACUAACAACAUAUAGUACUUUCUCACUCUCUAGUCAUAUUGUCUGUUUAGUGUUAGUUUAAUUAUGCUGCAGGAUGUUGUACCGUUUAGCAAAAAAUUGUCUUCUUUUAUUAGUGAUGCUAGAAUAAUACACCAAGGUUAAACUGGAUGAGAAAAGCAUAAACGAUCUAAUUAAAUUGGAGCUUCUAUUUUUGGUACUUAAAUUUAUUUCAUAAUUUCAUUGCAGUAAAAUCUUUGUGCUUAAUUUACUCUCAAACAUGAAUGAAUGCACACUUAAUUUACUGUUUGCCAAACUCUCACAAGCUGGGCCUGUUUGGUUCUGUCAUAAUAUGUAGUAUGUCCAAUAAAAUUAUGCCUAAGUAGUAUUAUUAAAAAAUUAUUAUUUUUAUUUUUUUGGUCAGUUUUUUCUAUAUUGGAGCAGGUGCGCUAACUGAAUGUUUCUUUUUUUUUUUCAACUCAAAAUUUAUUUCAAAUUUCAUGUAUAAAAUUUAAAUUUAUCAAUUUACUAAAAAUUCCGCUGAAAAUAAAAUGAUCACAACCAAAAACAGAAGCAGAAGAUGAGCUUGUACAUACACAGGGACUUAAAUAUAUAAUCUGAUUUCUUCUGCGGCAGGGAAACAGGGGCAUAUUGGAACCGGGCGUCGCGGAGUUCAUUUCGGCCCUGGCGGCAGGGACUGGCGCGCGGGUCAUGGUGGAAGUCUGCGGUGACUCCGGCGCUGGCCCCACCACCCUGGCCCUCAUUGCAGCCGCCAGCCAGACCGGCGGUCACGCCGUCUGCAUCCUCCGCGGUCCAGAGGAGCUCCAUUCGUCGACCCGGUUCCUCGGCCCCGACCACUCCCGACAGGUCGACCUUGUCCUCGGAGACCCCGAGGAGCUCCUCUUAAGGGAGUACCGCAGCGCUGACUUUGUACUUGUUGAUUGCCAGGUAUGUAAAACUAAGUGGUGUAUUAAGAUAGAGAAAAUUUACUAUAUAACAGUACAUCACAUCAUUUAUAUCCAGUCAAUCACAUUUUUUUUAGCAAAUAUUUGUCAUUUAUUUGACCGUUGUAUUUAGAAUUUUUCGUCGAGAUGAACGUGGAACCAGAAAACUCACCAUCAAAAUUUCGGCUCGGUUUUGUUCAAUUUUGAUUGUAAAUAAUUUUAUUCUUUAUUAAAAAAUUUAAAAUAAAAAUUUUUGAUUUGAUUUUAGAUUGAAAAAUCUGAAACAAAAAACAAACAAAGUGUACAUUUUCAUAUAUAUGAGUGUAUCUAUUUAUAUAUAUAUUUGUAUACGAUAUUUCGAUAAAUCAAAAACUUAGAAAAUUAAUUAAUAAGCUGCAAAAACUAUCAUUAAAAAUUCAAAUGUUCAAACCGAUAGACCAAAACGAUAUUUUUGGUAUGGUUUGUUUGGUACUCUAUUCUAUUAGUUUAAUUUAAAACAAAUUAGAUUGAUUUGAUUUUAAUUUAUCUUAUAAUCUGAACUAAUUAAACCAAUUAAUCAUGUCAACUGCUAUGUAAAAGUACUGUUUUUAUAUGAAACGUAUAUUCUUUUAAAAAAAAACUCUGAGGCCUUAUUAAUUAAAUAUUAUAACUUUCAUUUUUUUUAGAACUUUUAUAACCAAAAUUUUAAAUGAUUUGAAUGUGGUGAGUGAGAAACUUUUUAACUCUGGUUUUUAUUGCUAGCUUGUAACUGUGGCCGCACGCAGACAAAAUAAUUUUUUUUCAAAAAAUUCCAAAGAAAUAGAAAACAUACUAACUACUAUAUUGUUAUAUUUUGUUGUCAAACAAAUGUAGCAGAAAUAUAAAUCACAAACACUCCUUCACUUAAUCCAGUAUACCCAAGUUGUGUUAAAAUUACAAAAAGCAAAGAUACCAAAUAUAACCAAAUAUUUUCUAAAGAAAUGUUUAAGAAGAUUAUAUUAAUCUCUAAUACAAGUGUCCAUUCAAGGAUUCAAGAAUUUACUAAAUUGUUUUUAUUUUUAGUAAAAUAAUAAUAAUAAUAAGACUUGUAGAGAAAAAAACUAGGUUUUAAUUUGGAUGGGAUAUAUGGAUGGUUAUAGGAUUACCAUCCAUAUUAUGGAUUUUAACCCUAGCAAUGCUCUAUUUUAUAUUCAAUAUGUUUGCCUAUAUAUGCACAAGACUUUUUAAAAAGCUCAUGUGCUUAAUAACUGAAAUUGUAAAAAAUUAAAUAAGACUAGAAAAUUUCGAACUAAAAUAAUUAUUUAUUAUUUUCAAAAGGCUUGAAUAGCGAAGAACGGUAUUUUAAUAUUUUAUAUUCGACACCAGGUUUACGGCAGCGAACGUGCGUUCAAGGCGGCUCAGCGCGGAGCAGCGGAGGCAGCAGGCGGGGGUGUUGUGGUGGGUUAUAAUGCAAUGUGCGGCGGCAGCGGCGACGGCUUCAAUGAUAGCAGCAGCGGAAGGAGAGGUGGUAUGAAGAUUGAGCUGCUACCGAUCGGCGGCGGGCUUAGGGUUUGCCGGGUGCCGCCGUCCACGGUAGAGGCUGCUGCUGCGGCUGCAGGGAGGAGGAGCAGGUGGGUGGUUAGGGUUGAUGAGGGCACCGGCGAGGAGCACGUGUUUAGGAUCACACGCCAAGGAGAAAUGGGAUAAAAGCUUGAUUCGUAUACACAUGCAUUACGUGCGUUCCUUUUAGCUCUUCUCAGUUUUUGUGUUUUACAUAUGUGCAAUGAGAAUCUCUUAAAAUGUAUUGAAGAAAUCGUUGCUUGAACCUAUUUCAUCACAUUUUUUUUUUUUUAAGAUCAUCCAACAAUCUACUCUUCAUUUUAUUAUUUUUAUAUCCUCACCGCUAAGUAAAAAGUUAUGUUUUAGUUUAAAAGAAUAUAUAUGUUCAUUGUAGAGUAAUAUUUCAAAGAGUGAUGAAUUAAAGAAAAGAUAUAUUGGCAUAUAUAGAUAUCUUUAGUAAAAGUGGUGGACUAGAUCAGAACAAAUUUUUUAAAUUUUUUGCGUAAAGCAAGCUCGAUUGAAUUAGAGUUGAUGUAUUCAAAAUAUAUCUGAAUAGUUUUAUUAUAUUUUUUAUUUUUAAGAAAAAUGAGAAAUUUACAUAUCUAUGACCUGGAGCAAAAAUAAAUAAAUAAAUAAAUAAGUAUAGAACCAAAUCUGUUUCACAGAAAUGGAAAGCAUAGGACCAAAUCUGUUUCACAGAAAUGGAAAGCAACCAGUAAGGCGAUAAGUUGACAUAUCGGAUAUUGUUUAUGGGUGUGCCAAUUCAGUCUCGCUGUUCGCAAGUUACUGAGCCAGCUCGUGUUCGGCUCGAAAUGAGCUCGAGAUCGCUCGCAUCGUUUAGUAAACGAGCCGAACACAGUGGAUUUUUGCAGCAUCGUUUAAUAAACAGCCGAACGACACUGAAGGUUCAGCCCGCUGAUUCGGGCUCGAUAACAGCUCGAAUACAUAUAUUUUAUAUUUAUAUAAUUUAUUAUUUAUAUUUUUUUAUAUAUAAUAAUAAUUAUAUAUAAUAUAUAUUUUUAUUAUUAAUUUUUAGCAAAAUAAAAAUAUAAAUGCGAGCUAAUUAUAAAAAGACUCAUUUAUGUGUAAAGUUUCAACUAUUACAUACAUCUAGAUGAAUAGAUUUUAUAAAUUAUUUUUUAUAUAUAUUUAAUCUAAUUUUUUUUAAAUUUAUUUGUUCGUUGGCCAGCUCGUGACCAGCUUCGUGUUCGGCUCGUUUAUAAAUAGCCGAACACGAGCUGGAUUUUUCGGCAUCGAUACUUUAGUGAGCCAGCUUCGUGUUCGGCUCGUUUAAUAAACGAGCCGAACACGAGACUUCCGUACGCCAGCUCGCUCGUGUUCGGCUCAUUUACACCCCUAUGUGUCUCUAUGGAUAAAGAAAGUUCACAGUAGAAUUAAGGAUUGUUUGGUUGGGUGUAAUUUGAGUACUUAGAGUUUAGCUGUAGAUGCAAAGAGCUAGAAAUGCCGCAGUUAGAAAUACAUACAUCUUAUCUGGUUUGAUAUAGUAGAAUGUGACAUAACUAUAAAUAAUUUGUUUGAUUACGUACAUUUUUAAAAUUGUCACUUUAUAUGUGUGGUGAUGAAAUUACCUCUAAUAUAGAAAAAAAAAAACUUUCUAUUUAAAAAGUGGUUAGGAAGGUAAGUUUAUCUUUUAUUUUUUGAUGAGAGAUAUAAUAUUUGAUUUGUGUUAAUAUUUAAGAAAAUAUGAUUGUCACUUGUCAAUAAAUUUAUAAUUUUUUACUUAUAAAUAGGAGAUAAAAAUAAAUAUUAAUAUAAUUUUUUACUAUAUUUGUAAUGUAUAGGCGGUUGAAACCGUCUUUACUUGCAGAAACGGUCUAAAUUAACUAUACAGAUUAAUAUUUGUAAAGACGAUUCAAACUGUUUCUAUAGAUUAAUAUUUAUAGAGGCGGUUCAAACAGCAUCUAUAGGUUAAAAUUUGUAGAGAUGAUUUCAACCGCUUUAUAGUAUGUGACACCCCAAUAGUCCCACAUCGGGCAGUUAUGGUUAGAUGUCGAAGUAUAUAAGCUUGAUUGGGCUAGACAUAUAUAAUAAACUGGGCUUAAACAUUUUGGGCUAGUGGUUUGGGCCUGACGAGUUAUUUUUGCUAGCGGGUCGAGUCGUUACAUUUGGUAUCAAAGCUAGGUUUCGAUCCUGGGACCUAUGCUUAUAUGUGUUUCACGGACACCGGCAGUCUGAUCCAUCGCAGGAGGGUGUUUUUUUUUGAAAAAGUGGUCGUACAUCCGACCCGUGAGCUCAGCGGUCAUUUGCUGGGUUAUAUGCCAGGGAGACUCCAGCGGUCAUUUGCUCGGGUCACAUCCCUGCUAGAGUGGUAGUGGCAUAGGCUUGAGGUCUUCGGACCGAUAUGGCGGCUUCUAGAUUGGGUAUCUUUGGGACUGAUCGUCCGGUUAAUGCAUACUUGUAUUUUGUUCUGUAUUACAGUAGCGGCUAGUUAUAUUCCUCUGUACUGUUGUUUACGCCCUGCAUCAUUGUUUCUGUAGUUACGAUAUCUAUGUAUCCAUUCUGUUCUACUUUAUAGUAGCGGUAGUUAUAUGUGCUAUUACUGACCGUUUUUAGAGCAAAUGGCAAAGGGCUUGGUGGUUGAUACCCGAGGUCCAAAGUUCGAAUCCUAGUUGACUCACAUUUCCAGCUAAGUUUAUUUCUAAAGGAAAUAAACGAAGCGGGUAACGUGCUACCUAUCUCAAAAAAAAAAUAAAAAAAAUGUAUUGGGCACUUCCGCAUCGACUUUUAAACUUCACAGGGGACCCCGGGGUGUGAUAGAUUAAAGUGGUAUCAGAGCUAGUUCACCAGCCGAAAGUACGAGAUGAGUCUUGGCUGAGCCAGGGUCGGAAUGACAGACUAAGCAAGGGUCGGUGAUUGACAGGCUAAGUCAGGGUUGGAAUGACAAAGGCUAGCAAGACAAGUCUCACAUCGCCUGGUGAUCUUGAGCUAUGUGUGUGUUUAGAGCUGACGAGGACGUCAGGGCCUAAAUGGGGAGAGUCUGUGACACCACAAUAAUUCCACAUCGGAUAGUUAUGGUUAGAUGUGGAAGUAUAUAAGCUUGAUUGGGCUAGAUAUUAUAAACUGGGCUUAAGCAUUUUGGGCUGAUGGUUUGGGCCUAACGAGUUAUUUUUGCUAGCGGGUCAGGUCAUUACAUAUUAUUUCUAAAUUAUAAUUAAAAAAUAUAAAAAAUAAUUAAGAAAAAAUAUUGCGGCGAUCUAAAUCGCCUCUAUAUACAGCCUCUAAGCCCCCUUCCCCCGGCGGGCGCUCAAACCGCCUCUACAAUAUAGAGGCGCUGUCUACACCGGUGGUCUAGAGGCGAUUGCAGGAACUGCCUCUACGAAUCGUAGAGAUAGUUUAAAUCGCCUCUAUGAAUACUCUAUGAUAACUAAAAAAUACCUCUAUGAAUACUCUACGAUAACUAAAACCGCCUAUACGAUUACCUUUUCCUGUAGUGUAGAAUGACAACUAAUUUAGGUGUAAAUUCAAAUGAUAGUCGGCUAGGUGUAAAUUCAAAUGAUAGUCGGGCCUCCUCGGUCCUCCUUAUGCAAUGAUAACUAUAGCAGUUAGACUCAAAUAUAUCGAACCAAAUAUUAAAAUUCAACCUACAUGUAGUUAUAACUGGAGUGCUGUUACAACUACAUGCAACAAAAUAGACUCUAGAGAGAGGUGAUCCAAUCUUAUCAUCUUAUCAUCCUAUUCUUCUUCUCCUUCUUUUGCUAUACGUGUUAGAGGAAGAGAGAGGAGAGGAAGAGAGGUGGUCCAAGGAGGCGAUCGAGGACGCAUGCGCACAUGAUUUUUUUUAUGCGUCGGAUUGGAGGUUAGUAUUUUAAUAUUAUAUUUGGUUGAUCUAGAUUUUCAAGGUGCAAUUUUUAUAAUGAUUUUAGAAGUAGAUAUUGGAUGGUAUUUUUGCGAAAUUGUUAGAAGUUGGAUUUCUGCAUGAUUUAGUUGUAAUGACCCGACCAACUAGCAAUAAUAACUCGUUGGGCCCAAACCACCGGCCCAAAAUGCUUAAGCUCAAUUAUUAUGUCUAACAUAGUCAAGCUUAUAUACCCCCACAUCCAACCAUAACUAUUCGCUAUCCGAUAUGAGAUUAUUGGGAUGUCACAUACUCCCUCCGUUUAGGGCCUGACGUUCUCGUCAGUCCUAAACACACAUACAGGCCAAGAUCACCAAGCAAUGUAAGUGUCACGCCUCGCCCCGAAACCACUACCCAUUUGGAACGGUUCGACCGCCUCGGCGGAUUGCCGAACGGACAGCACCUCCCCUGUCCGCCCAAGGCUCAACAACAAGAAUGUAUACAAGAAUUUACCCAGGAAGUUAAAUUCUAAACAUACACAUUCACAAGGGCACAAACAGUGCCAACACAACAAAGAGCAAGUAAUCCACAAGUAAAAACAAGUGAAAUAAAGAGAGUACUUUACUAACUAUUACAAUAGUUCAUUCUUUUCAUUUACAUCAUUUUUUUUAAAUGAAUACAUUUUUUCAUCUCCAAAAUACAUAGCUCUCCAAAUCCUCACCUACAAUGAAUCUCUCUCAAUACAUAGGUGAACUAAUGCAAAAAGGAAAGCUACUAUACUACCACGGUCUCACUGAUCGGGCGCGAUGCCCUUGCCGCGGUCCUCUCUCGACAACCUAUACCUACCACUGAAAAUAGAGUGGGGUGAGAACUAUCUUCCAUAGUUCCCAGUGGGCUCGGCCGCCCACUUUGCCGAUCUCCCCACUAGGUCCAGGUGGGCACAAGUAACAACAGAUAGAUAGAUAGAUAUGUAUCUAAAAACUGUAAAUGCGAUAGUAGGAAAACUAUGCUACUAUGCCCAUAAUCAUGAAUAUGAAUGUAUGCAUCAUAUAAUAAAGGUUUGCUACUAUGCUAACAAAUUCGAUCCAUAUUCGAAUAGCAAUGUUCAAUGACAUUAUUAAACCUUUACUCUUUCCAUUUACCGAAUCUGUGGCGAGGCCCUAGGGCUCGCCUGUAACUCACCUUUCAAUCCCAAAGUGGGGAGGGAGCUCCAAGUGCACCCAAGCCCGGGACCGUCUGCGGACCUCCAUGGGGUCCGGACCUCCAAGUGGUCCUAGUCGCGUGACACUCCGGAGUACUCGACGACAAUCCCCUCCAUGUGGGGAUUGGAUGGCUAUACUACCCAAAACACAGACUGUGAGCUAGAUCUAUCCUCUCCAAGUGAGGAAACACUAUCCACGACCCAAUCAAAUCCUCUCCAAGUAAGGAAGCCCUAUCACUAGGGUCAAUGUCUCAAUCGACUCAUCGACAACCUCUCCAGGUGAGGCUACUUAGGUUUACUAAGUUCUUUAUCCACAAGGCAUUUUCUAAGGGAUCCAUCUAUCCCUAGGUUCUCAAACCUCUAGUAUUAUUUACACUACAUUAAUGCCACUCAUCAUCAUUUAACGUUUGGAUGUCACUCAUUAGUGCUUUGACAUUAACACUACUUUCUAUGUCAUCAACACCCCCAUCAGGUACAUCUUUUUUCUUUCGCAUCAUAGGAUCCACAUUCUGACCCAAUCCUCACCUAUCUAAGUCACCAAGCGUUCAAGUACACUAGGUUAUCAUUUAAAAAGCAUAAGGAAUUGAGCUACUAUGCAAUCCUACAAUGAAACAUGAAGAGAUGAGAUUAAAUGCAAUCUAAGACAUAGAAAGGAGUUCGAAAGCUUCGGGAUGGCACCCCCCACCUUUAAUCGAUGUAGAGGCUUCGGAAAUCCUUCUCGGCGAACUUUACGAAAAGGCUUUAGCCUUCCUUGUCCAAAUCAAUGCUAAACCGGCCCUAUUUUGCCGAGAACUUCACGCCGGCUUGCCGAAUGCCAAAACCGACUUCGCCCCCACGUUUUGUGACCUAACAAUAGGGUUUCCAAGACUUCAAAUGAGAUCAAUCUCAUACUUUCACAAAAAUCCCAUUUUGGAGCUAGGUUUGCACCUAUAGCAAACCAUCCAAUAAAUCCCUAAAUUCUUUGGAUUGAUCUAUUUAGAAGCAUGCUUAGGGUCUAUUUGACCCGUUCCAAAGCAUAAAAAUCCAAAACCCCAAAUUCUAGAAGCUAGGGUUCAAGGGCUUACCUCUUGUGCUACACCAAAGAGAAGAGGAGAGGGAGAUGAAGGUGUCCAAGGCAUUCCUCUUGAUCUCCUUCUUCUUCUUCUUCCUUUUCUUCUUCUCUUUUUCCUUCCUCUUCUUCUUGUUCUUCUCCUCUUUUCCAUUUUAGAGAGAGAGAGGGAGAGAAAAUAUGAGAGGGAGAGAGUUUGAGUGAGGGUGAGAGAGGAAGAGGGCUCAGCCCCUCUAAUCACUCCCUAACUAAUGCCAUUUUGCAUAAAAACCGCUCAACUUUUAAUCCUAUGCGCUGCCCUUACUGGGUAGAAUUCGCGUGGAGGGACCGGUCUCCCCAACUUGGGACCGGUCCCCGAGGGCCUCCCUCAGGCACACGCGUUCGGGAACCGGUCUCUCCCCGGGAGAUCGGUCCUCACCUGAGAGACCGGUCCCCGAGAGCUCGAUUUUCAGGACUUAGCCAAAUUUCGGCAUUUCUCGCUCGGACCACGUUUGGGAACCGGUCCCUCCCUGCCAGGGACCGGUUGCAUCAAGCAACCCCGCUUCACCCAGCCAAUGGAACCGGUCUCUCACCUCCAGAGACCGGUCCCCGAGAGUAACAUCAGCCCAAUGAUGCAGUUUGCACCACUUGCUCUCGCGGACUCAACUCCAAAACACUUUUUGUGUUCUGGACAUUUUUAACUCCCCCAAAGGGGUAUUCUCUCGACAAUUAGUCUAUCUUGGAUGAAGUACAAUCCUCGGAUUUCGAGAAUUCACUUCCUUACAGUAAGACUUGUCUCGCUAGCCUUGUCAUUCUGACCCUGACUUAGCCUGUCAUUCACCGACCCUGGUUUAGUUUUGUCAUUCUAACCCUGACUUAGCAAAGACUCAUCUCACACUUUCGGUUAGUGAAUUGGCUUUGAUCUAAAUGUAACGACUCGACCAACUAGCAAUAAUAUAUAACUUGUUGGACCUAAACAUCAGCCAGUUAUUAUUAUUAGGGUGGAGUCCUUUUAUAUACCCAAUGACAAUCUCAUUCCCAUCUGAUGUGACACUAUUAGAAUGUCACAGACUCCCAUAUUCGAUUUCAGGUAAAAUGGUACAUAAAAUAUAGGGACUUUUGCGAAUUUCCCAGUUUGCCACUAUCGACCCCUUCUCGAUCAUCAUGCAAUUUCAGGAGAUCCAUCUGUCAUAUUUGCGAGCGAACUAUGCCAGCGUGUUCGGCACUGCCAAAAUAUUGAAACUACAAUUUUGUUUCUCUAGAUUUGGUCGCCGAUUCAUGACAAAACCCAUCCUCUCUCGAUCCCCCAACAUAACACACACACACACACACACACACACAUAUAUCAAAUAGGAACCGAAUAUUGCAAAUUCAAAUUUUUGAAUUUCAAUUAUUCAAAUGUCUAAGAUAUGUGUAAACUUCGCACAUUCCACAAUUUUUGGUAAGCGAUCGGACACCCGUUAGUUUUUCGUAAAAUAAUUUAGUAAAAUACUUUGGUUGUGUGAAAAUUUUAUUUUAUGGAUUUUAAAAUUAACGGUUGAGCAUAUUAUUAAAUAUUUCUGUAAAUUGAUCUUCAACUGUGAUUGACAGGCAUCCUCUCAAGUAUACGAGUACCGACCACUCGGGUCAACUGAAAAGCGUGAAAUCAAUGACACUAAAAGUACACGGACACUGACCACUUAGGUCAACGGGAAUAUAAAUAAAAGUGUCACUACCGUUCAACUCACUACAACAAAAACGGUCUAUAGCGACACUUUUAAAUGUAGGCACAUGUCAAAAAAGUGCUACUAGCUAAAAUUACCGACACUUUUAAAAAGUAUUGCUAUAUGUGGGGUCGCUAGGUAUAUAGUGAUAGUUAAAGAGUGUCGCUAUAACCUAGAAGAGUGCUGCUAAUUUACCAACACUUAUUUAAGCAUUUAGCAACCGCCGAAACUCUAUCUCGUUGGCUGCGGUGGCGGAGGAGGACGACAGGAAAGGCUCUUCGUCUAGAAUUUUAGUGGAUUGAGUGAAGAGAGAAGAAAAGAUGGUAAUUGAUUUUUCUUUUUUUUUUCUUUUCUGUUUGUAAUCGGGCCAAAUGGACUGGGUGUGGUGGGUUGAGUAGAGUAAUCUUUUAUUUUUUGUUGAAUUGGGCUUUAUAUUUAGGCAUUACUAGAUGUUUUUUUAAGUUUUAGGAUAAAUGGGACACUUACUCAAAAGUGUCCCAAACAUGUGUCCCUAUAACCUAAUUCUGUUGUAGUGACUCUAUGUCAUGGCAAACGGGAGAGUAUACUAAGUAGAGCAAGGAUCGAAAUCAUGUGGUGAAGAGCUCUAAUUACCGAUAUAUAUAUAUAUAUAUAUAUAUAUAUAUAUAUAUAUAUAUAUAUAUAUAUAUAUANAUAUAUAUAUAUAUAUAUAUAUAUAUAUAUAUAUAUAUAUAUAUAUAUAUAUAUAUAAGCAGUAAAAGCUAGAACAUCACCGAACAUGCAACACUUAACCGACUUCGGAUCGAAAUACUCACAGAACUAAAGCACAGGAUCCCAUCAGAACUCCGCAAUUAAGCGUGCUUGGGCGAGAGUAGUACUAGGAUGGGUGACCCCCUGGGAAGUCCUCGUGUUGCAUGUGAGACAAGUCUCACAUCACAUGAUGAUCUUGGCCUGUAUAUGUGUUUAGGACUGACGAGGACGUUAGAGCCUAAACGGAGGAAGUAUGUGACACUCCAAUAAUUCCACAUCGGAUAGUUAUGGUUAGAUGUAGGGGUAUAUAAGCUUGACUAUGUUAGACAUAAUAACUGGGCUUAAGCAUUUUGGGCUGGUGGUUUGGGCCCAACGAGUUAUUAUUGCUAGCUGGUCGGGUCAUUACAUUUUGUAUCAGAGCCAGUUCACCAGGCGGAAGUAUGAGAUGAGUUUUAGCUGAGUCAGGGUCGGAAUGACAGACUAAGCCAGGGUCGGUGAUUGAUAGGUUAGGUUAGGUCGGAAUGACAAAGGCUAGCGAGAUAAGUCUCACAUCGCCUGGUGAUCUUGGGCUGUAUGUGUAUUUAAAGCUGACAAGGACGUCAAGGCCUAAACGGGCGGAGUCUAUGACAUCCCGAUAGUUCCACAUCGGAUGGGAAUGGGGUUGUCAGUAGGUUUAUAAGAGGACUUCAUCCUAGUAAUAAUAACUGAGCUUAAGUAUUUUGGGCCGGUGGUUUUGGCCCAACGAGUUAUUGUUGCAGCGGGUCAAAUCGUUACAUUUGGUUUCAGAGCCAGUUCACCAGCCGGAAGUGUAAUAUGAGUCUUGGCUGAGCCAAGGUCGGAAGAACAAACUAAGCCAGGGUCGACGAUUGACAGGCUAAGUCAGGGUCGGAAUAACAAAGGCUAGCGAGACAAGUAUUACAUCGCCUGGUGAUCUUGGGCUGUGUGUGUAUUUAGGGCUGACGAGGGCGUUAGGGCCUAAACGGGGGAAGUCUGUGACACUCCAAUAGUCCCACAUCGGAUAGUUAUGGCUAAAUAUGGGAGUAUAUAAGCUUGAUUGGGCUAGACAUAACAACUGGACUUAAGCAUUUUGGGCUGGUGGGUUGAACCCAACGAGUUAUUAUUGCUAGUCGGUUGGGUUGUUACAUUUGGUAUCAGAGUCAGUUCACCAGCCGGAAGUGUGAGAUGAGUCUUGGCUGAGCCAGGGUCGGAAUGACAGACUAAGCCAGGGUCGAUAAUUGACAGGCUAAAUCAGGGUCGGAAUGACAAAGGCUAGAGAGAGAAGUUUCACAUCGCCUCGUGAUCUUGGACUGUGUGUGUGUUUAGGGCUAACGAGGACGUCAAGGCCUAAACGGAGGGAGUAUGUGACAUCCCAAUAGCCCCACAUCGGAUGGAAAUAGGAUUGUCAUUAGGUUUAUAAAGGGACUCUACCCUAAUAAUAAUAACUAGGUUUAAGCAUUUUGGGCCGGUGGUUUUGGCCCAACGAGUUAUCAUUGCUAGCGGGUCAGAUCGUUACAUUAACACUGAAAUUUUGUAGAAAUUCACUAUCACUACAACAAAUCUUGCACUUAAGGACACUUUAAAUAAUAACUAGCGACGCUUUAAAGUAUCGGCAAAAAUAAUUCCGACGCUUGUUGUAGAUUAUGAAAAUCCUAGGAUCUAUUUAGAUACUAUCAAACACCUAGAAGGGGGUGAAUAGGUGAAUAGCCCAAAAGCACAAUUCUCAAUACGAUAAAAAUAAAUGCGAAAAAUAAAAACCACACCAAGAUUUACGUGGGAAAACUCCAAUUUGGAGAAAAGCCCACGGGACCAAUACGCAAUAACAAUUCACUAAGAAAUAAAAGAUUACAAGGUGAUUACCGAAUCCACGGACUCAAACCUCUCUUUUAUCUUCUUCGGAUCUCGCGCACGCCACCAGGUUGUCCACGCCCCACGUCCGACUCCAUGAAUGCCACGUCCUGAAUCCACGAAACGUCCACACUUCGAAUCCACGAAGCUUCAACAUGUUGAAUCCACGACGCCGACUCGACCAUGAGCGCACUUCGUCUGGAGCAAGAUCAAUACGGUCGAUGAUGAUUUAUUGCUUAGAAUAUCAUUAAAGAUCUGUGGAAAUAAUCUCUAAGCAAUUCUCAAAUUGAUUCUAAAAGAACAUCAAGAAUUAGGGCACCAAGAAUAAAUUUGCGAGAAGCUUGUUGUAGAAGAUGAGAAAAACGGCUACCUACAAGCUUCUAGGGUUUCUCAACAAUAAUCUAGGCUUCACAUCUUUUAAAGACACCCAUGCAUCUUAUUUAUAGGUUUAGAAGACAUUAGAAAUAAAUUAGGAUUGAAAAACCAUAUUUGGAAAUCAUUAGAAAAUAGAUUAGGAUUGCAAAACCAUAUUUGGAAACCUCAAAACCAUAUUUGAAAACCUCAGAACCAUAUUUGGAAAACUCACGUCGGGUUCAGGGUCCGGACCUUCCAGUAGGGUCCUGAUCUUGAAGGUUCGGAUCUUGAUCCCAAGGUCCGGAUCCUUCUUGCGUAACAGCAAAACUGACGUACGGGAUCCGGAUCUUGACUGCAGGAUCCAGACUCUCCUCGCGUAACAUUAAAACCCAGUGCACGGGGUCCAGAUCCUAGACCCGAAAGUCCGGACCCUCGCUGCGUCAAUGCGAGGUAAACCCACGGGGUCCGGACCUUGAUUCCAAGGUCCGGAUCCUUAAACUUGGAAAACUUAGUAUUAAAAUUUUUAUCAAUUUAUACCUAUCCUAAUGUCUUCCAAACACUUGUAAAUGUUUAUAAAUCAUCAUCAAUAGUAUUUAAACUUACCGAGCAUUAUGGAUCAUGUUUUGAGUCUUUGAGUCUUCGAUCUUCGUCUCUUCUUCUUUAAACCUUCAAAACUCCAAUUUACUUCACGAAAUAUGCCAACUUAAAAUUCGUAACACUUGUAAAAGUGUCAAGCAAAGAGUCGUUAAGUAAACAUAUUGAGAUAAAUAUACUGACGUUUUAAUAGUGUCAGAAAAUUUUAUCAAUAUUUUCUAAAAAUAUGUUUAUUAGCGAUGCUUAAUCACGGUGUCGGUACAUGCCAAAUAUUGAACACGCUAGAGUAGAGCGCCGUCUAAAAAGUAUAGUCUAAAACAUAUUUUGCUAUAGCGCGUGGAGUUUUUUUUGAUGAUUUCUUCGGUGUUAGGCGCUGCCAUGCAGUUGAGGAGGCUUCAACGGAGUGCGUCAUCAUUCCAUUGUCCUUCCUCAAAGAUUAGUGAUCCAGAUGGUUUCCAUGUUGCCAAAAACGACAUGUUACCCUUUAUCUCUAUUAUUUUGCACGCUUGAUUUUGGAAUAGUCAAAUUCUUGAGGGCAUUAUGGUGUUAGUGAUUGUUAGAUUAUAAGUUUGUUUAUUAGUUUUUAUUUAUUUCUUAUUAUGAAAGUUUGUGUACCUUAUGAAAGGUUGUGUCCCUUUAUAAGGUUGUGUCUCUACGUUUAAAGUUGCAUCUUCUUGUUUAGGGUUGUGUCCUUUAGUGAAAAGAUGCUUGUUUUCGUGAAAUGUUGCAUCGUUUCGUGCUCUAUAAGUAGAGAGCAUAUUAAUUAUUGUGUAUAAGUGUGGAUCAAAUUGUAUUAAUAAGUUCUUGUGUACUGAAGUUUAGUUAUAUUUAAUAAAGUUGGUUGUUCUAGUUUUAAACACUUUUGUAGUUCUUUUAAUUUAUAUUAGCCUACCAAUAUUUGGUAUCAGAGCUAGAAAGAAAUUCUGUUAAAAAAUGGCCACACAACUUCUCCAAACUCAAAUCCCAAAAUUAGUAAAAGAUAAUUAUGAGAAUUGGUACAUUCAAAUGAAAGCACUUCUUGGUUCUCAAGACCUUUGAGAAUUAGUCAGAACUAGGUAUCAAGAGUAUACAGAGCAAGAAGAAGCUGCAUUAAUUGCAGCCCGUUGAAACGUUUUGAAGGAAGCAAGAAAAAAGGACAAAAAGGCCCUCUUCUAUCUUUACCAAGCAGUAGACAAGUCGACAUUUGAGAAAAUUGCCGAAGCAACUUCGAGCAAAGCAGCAUGGGAUAUUCUUUCCGCCGUCUUUAAAGGAGAUGACAAAGUGAAGCGGAUUCGUCUACAAAAGCUUCGAGUGGAAUUUGAAGCAAUUCGAAUGAAGGAGUCCGAAAGUGUCGCAGACUAUGUUUCUCAUAUUUUGGUAAUUGCAAACCAAAUGAAGCGAAAUGGAGAAGAACUCGAUGAUGAACAAGUUGUAGGAAAGGUUCUUCGCUCCCUCAUAUCAAUGUUUGAGCAUAUUGUUGUCGCCAUAGAAGAGUCAAAAGAUAUCAGUACUCUUUCGAUCGACCAAUUAACAGGAUCCCUCCAAAUACAUGAGCAACGAUUACAAAAGGUGUCUGAAAAUGAGUCGACUGAGCAAGCACUCAAGCCAAAAUUGAAACUUGAUAUAUAAUAGAAAAAGCAAAAAUCGUGGAGAAAAUAAUUAUGAUAAAUAUAAAAAUCAAAAGAGAUAUAACAAUGACUGAUAGAGUAGUAACAAAUGACAUGAAUAUGGACCAAAAAGAGGCGAACGUAAUAAAAUCACCCAGGGUCUUAUGGUGGUGCAAGAUCGAACAUGCAAUGUUAUAAUUGUAAAAAAUAUAAUUACUACAGUAAAGAUUGCUGGCAUAAAAAUACUGAAGGAGUGAAUCACUACGUCAAUAGUACUUUAGAAGAUGAAGUUGCAGAAACUUCACUAUUACUUGCAUGUCAAGAUGAAUUAAAGAUCCACAAUAUGUAUGGUUUCUAGAUUCUAGUGCUUCAAAUCAUAUGUAUGGAAGAAGAGAACUAUUUGUUGAAAUGGAUGAGAAUGUUGAUGGCAAUGUGAAAUUUGGUGAUUCAUCCAAAGUACCUAUUAAAGGAAAAGGAAAAAUUAUGUUUAAAUCGAAGAGUGGUGAAAAAGGAAAUUCAUCUCCAAUGUAUAUUAUGUGCCAGAAUUAAAAAGCAACAUACUGAGUAUCGGACAACUGAUGGAGAAAGGAUAUAUCGUUCAUAUGGAAGGCUCUAAUCUGACUUUGAAGAAUAAGAAAGGCAAAACGAUUGCGAAAGUGCAUAUGUGGAAUAAUCGAAUGUUUUCUAUAAACAUAAAGUCAGAAAUUGAAAGGUGUUACCACUCUGAAUUUAAAGAAGAAUCAGAAUUAUGGCAUUUGAUGUACGGGCAUUUAAAUUACAUGUCACGCCCUGAGCCUGCCUAUUUGGUCGGUUCAGGCACGUCGAAUAGACACCGAACGGACAGCACCUCCCAUGUCCGCCCAAGGCUCAACAAGACAUCAAACAUGUAUAUAGUUUGUACAAGUGGAAUAUAAACAUGCAUGGCUUGCACGAGGGCAAGCAAUAGCCAAAAGUGAAAGAUUCUAAACUAGGCAUACAUACAAGUACUAUGGUUAACUUUUAAUCAUAUAGAUGCUUUCAACAUUUGCAUUCUAUUACAUUCUUUUCUUUACACAUCAUAUGAUCUCCAAAAACUACAUAACAUUUCAUUUCUCAAAAACUUAAGCUUUUACAUUUAUGCGUCAUUCAUACUACUAGCAUUAUCAAAUACAAAAGAUGAUAAACAUGCAUGAAGCUAUACUCGGGUAGUCGCUAGCUGGGGUGCGAUACCCUUGCCAUGGUCCUCGACCGCCUCGCUCGGACCUGAAUCUGUGAAAAAUAGUGGGGUGAGAACUACAACAAAGUUUCCAGUGGGUUCGGCCGCCGACCUCGUCGACCUUCCCACUAGGUCUAAAUCAGGCAUAACAGAAGAAUAAACAGAUAGAUAAGUAACCAAACUAUACAAAUGCAACUAAUAUGGCUGAACAAGAUAUAACAAUAAGGAUGCUCAUGAUGCAUGCAAGAUCUUAAUUCCAAUACUCAAUCCUCUUGGCUAACCCGUAGGUUUCGCCUAAAAGCAACUCACCAACUCAAAUCCCUAAAAUCGAGGAGACUUCUACACCCGACGGGACCGUCCUCUGGGAAAACACCAACCCAGUGAUGACUACUCCGGAGCUCAUCGCUCGAGGGGGAGCUACCAUCCUCAAGCCAAGACUUACAGGUGAGUAUGAUCCAAUCCUUAACUAUAAGGAUGUCAAGUUCAAUCAAAUCCUUAGCUAUAAGGAUGCCUAAACUAUGAGGAUGCUAUGUUACAUAUGCCACAAUACCAUUGUCUCAUUCUUUAGCAUUCUUUAGCUCUCUAACAUUUAUUAUACUCAUCAAUGCCACUUUACUAAGUGUUUAACUCUAGCAUUCAUGAUUUGUUAAUGCCACACCACUAAGUGUUUAACUCUAGCAUUCAUGACUCAUUAAUACCACACUAGUUAUUUACUCAUGUCAUAAUGUCACUAUGUUCUUUAUGUCUUUGCCUCAACUAUGUUCUUGUCAUAUUUCACACAUAUAUAGGGUUUCCAAUUUUGUUCAACAACUGAAGUGCAUCUUUAUACUACAAGCAUGCAAAUAACACAUCUCAAUUCAACCCUACAAUGCAUGAAACUAUAUACUCAUAUAUGCUCAAGAAGUGACAUUUAGACAUAUCGAAAUUCAAGAAUUUCGGAUAGCACCACCCACCUCGUAGGGUUGCUAAGGUGUUACGAUUCAAAUUUCGUGAUUUUUGAACCCCCAUUCUCUCGACUGCGGCGAAACGAAGCCAAAAUAGGCUUUUCCUCAAUUUCUUUGCGUAGACUCGUCGGAUCUUCGAACCGAGUCUCCCAACGCGUUGAUUUUACCUUCAAUUACGUUUCUACAAGGUUAAUUUACAUAUAAUCAAACCUAUGGCAAAAGCCCCAAUUUGGAGCCCUAGAAUCUACCAUUGCAAGAACACUACAUAAAACCCCUUUGGUUCAAGCAAUAGCAAGCUUGAAAGCAUCUAGAGACUCAUCUAGAGCCAUUCCUAGAGCAUUUAAACCAAACCCUAGAGUUCUACCAUGAGAGCUCAUGAAGCUUACCUCAAAAAGCUUCCUCUUCUUAAGCCAAGGAAGAAGAAGAAGUGGUUGCCUCACUUUCUAGCUUCCUUCUCUACUAAAUCCUCCUCUAUUCCACCUUCGGGGAGAGCUCCUAGAGAGAGAGGGGAAGAAAAAUGAGAGAGGAGAGGGUUCUUUUGGCUGUGAACAAGAGAGGAAGAGGUGGGGGGUUUUUAUAAGCUGCUACAAUUACAUUUAAGCCUUCCAAUCUCUUUUAUUUGCAGCAGACUCAAUCUGUUGUUCGCAGCAUUGGGUACCGGUACGCGGGCUCACAUCACCGGUACGCCGCUCGACAGCAGCCCAAACCCGAGAGCUGCUGUUCUCGGGUUGCUGCAGGGUACCGGUACCAACCAGGGCUAUCACCGGUAGGCAGCUCGGCAGUGACCAAACCCGAGAGCUGCUGUUCUCGGGUGGCUGCGGGGUACCAGUACCAACCAAGGCUGUCACCGGUACGCAGCUCUGCAGUGACCAAACCCGAGAGCAAGCUUCUCAGAUGGCUGGCCUGGUACUGGUACCACUUCCUCAGUACCAGUACACAGCGCCCAGACUGCAGUUUUGGCAGUGUUUAGGCUCUAUUUCGAGCCGAGCAAUGCUAAAACUCUUCUAACUCACUUGGAACUCAACUUUAAUCCCUCCAACACUGUUGGAGUACCACACGGACUUUGUCCAACCAUCUCUCUCGCCACACUUUGGUCAAUUUGACUAAAGCUUGAUAUAACCUACCGAGAUUUCGAUAUAUUACAUUACAAUAGUUUAAAAUUAUUAUCAUCUAAAAGAAUGGUCCAUAGUCUUACCGUGAUCAAACAUUCAAAUAUAGUAUGUGAAGGCUGUAUAAAUAGUAAACAAACAAGGCUUCCUUUUAUCAAUAGCAAAAUAAAAUUUGCAACGAAACCUCUAAAUUUAGUCCAUAUUGAUAUAUGUGGUCCUCUUCCUGAGUCUCAUAGAGGAAAUAAAUAUUUUAUUACUUUUAUUGAUGAUUGCAUUAGAAAGAUAUGAAUUUACUUCAUCAAAGAGAAAUCUGCUGCAUUUUCUACUUUCAAAAAAUAUAGGGCUUUGGUAGAUGGAAAGUGGAAACAAAAUAAAAAUAUUGAGAUCCGACAGAGAAAAAGAAUAUACUUCAAAUGAAUUUAAAGAUUACUGUAAUAAAGAACGUAUUCAACAGCAAUUCACUACAGCAUAUAGUCCACAACAUAAUGGUAUAGCCGAGUGUAAAAAUAGAAUCAUUUUAGAUAUGGCAAAAGGCAUUCUUAAAGAAAAGGCUUUGCCUAAAUCAUUUUGGGCAGAAGCAAUUGCAUACGCAGUAUAUUUAAUUAAUAGAAGUCAAACUAAGAGUCUAAAGAAUGUGACACCGGAAGAAGGGUGGAGUGGAUAUGAACCUGGGGUUAAACAUCUCAAAAUAAUCGAAUGCGUUGCUUAUGAAGAAAUUCCCAAGGAAAAAAGAAAAAAGUUAGACGAUCGAGGCGAAAAAUGUAUCUUUACUAGUUAUAGUGAGCAUUCAAAAGCUUACAAACUCUAUAAUCCAAUUACCAAUAAAGUAAUUAUAAGUAGAGAUGUUAUAUUCGACAAAAAUCCCACAUGGAAUUGAAAUACAGAAGAAAAAGGAAAAGAAUUAAUAGAUCAGAAAAUUAAAGAAACCGACAAUAUGCCAAACGAUAAUGAUACUCCGUCACCAAUUACUCCGGCGUUAGCACUACCUGCUCCUUCAUCAUCCAUUCCUUCAAGUUCAUCAAGUCCAGUCAGAUUAAGAAGACUUGAAGAUAUAUACAAUGAAACAGAUGUGAUUGAUAGUGAGAAUUUACUUUGUUUACAUCUUAACAAAGAGCCAUUAACUAUUGAAGAGGCCCUACAAAAGAAUGUUUGGCGCACUGCAAUGAAGGAAGAAAUCAAAACAAUAGAGAAAAAUAAAACAUAGGAACUGACUUCACUUCCUAUAGGAUAUAAAGCUAUUGGAGUAAGAUGGAUGUAUAAGAUCAAGCACAAUGUUGAUGGACAAAUAAUAUAAUAUAAGGCACGACUAGUCGCAAAGGGAUAUAAACAGGAAAAAGGUGUAGACUAUGAAGAACUAUUUGCACCAGUAGCCCGACUUGAUAUAGUGCGACUUAUUCUUGCAAUAGCUACUUAUCAUGGUUGGCAGGUACAUUAAAUGGAUGUAAAAUCGGCGUUUUUAAAUGGUUUUCUUGAAAAAGAAGUUUACAUUGAACAACCUCCUGGCUACAAAAUAAAAGGUGCGGAAGAUAAAGCUUAUUGUUUGAACAAAGCUUUGUAUGGCUUAAAACACGCUCCACGAGUUUGGAAUACUCGUCUUGAUAAUUAUCUUCAAAAUAGUGGAUUUAUAAAUGUCCUUAUGAGUAUGCGACAUACAUCAAGAAAAAUAAAAACAAAAAAGGAGAUAUUUUGAUCAUAUAUGUGUAUGUGGAUGACCCACUAAUCACAGGAUGUAACAAUUAAAGAUAUAAUAAAUAAUUUUAAGAGUAUCAUGAUAAAAGAGUUUGAAAUGACAGAUGCAGGACUUAUGUCAUAUUUUCUCGGUAUUGAGGUGAAACAAGAUGAAAAUAAAAUUUUUAUCAUUCAAAAGAGAUAUGCUGAAAAUAUUUUGAAGAUAUUCAAAAUGGAAAAUACUAAAGAAAUUAAUAUACCGAUUGCACGUGGAACUAAACUCAGCAAAAGUGAUACUGGAAUGUAAAUUAAUUCUACUCUAUUCAAAAGCCUAGUAGGAAGUCUUCACUAUUUAAUAGUGAGUAGACCAGAUAUUAUAUAUUGAGUCGGAUUAAUCAGUCGAUAUAUGGAAAAUCCAAUGGAAUCGCACUGGCAAGUUGCAAAACAGAUUUUGAGAUAUAUAAAAGGUACCAUUGGUCAUGGAUUUUAUUAUACAAAAUCAAAAGAGUUAAAAGUAUUUGGAUAUACAGAUAGUGAUUGGGUCGGCGAUCAAGACGAAAGAAAAAACACUACAGGAUACAUCUUCAUGUGACAUACCGAAACUUCGGUAGAAUAUUGGACUCUAGCCAAAUUGGCCAAAGAGCCCGAGAGAAAUGGUUGGACGAAGUCUAUUUACCAUUCCAACAGUGUUGGAAUGGUUAGAAAUGAGUUCCAAAAGAGUUAGAAAGGUUUUGGCAUCAAUUAGCGCGAAAUAGAAUCGAAACGAAGCCAAAAAUCAAGUCUGGGCAAAGUGUACCGGUACAACCAUCGAGUUGUAACCGGUACAGAUAAGUGUACCGGUACAAAAUGAAAGUGUACCGGUACAAAUGCCCUAAACCCGAGGGAGUUGCUCUCGGGUUUGGUCAUACGAGAUCGUGUUACCGGUGACAUGAGAAAGUGUACCGGUACACUUUGGUCUGGCAGCACAAAGUUGGUCUGCUGCAAAAAUAAAAAUAUGGGGGGCCUAGAUGCAAUUGUAGCAUCUUAUAAAACAUCCCAAACACCCUCUCCUUCACAGCAGCCCCUCCCCUCUCAUUUCCUCUUCCUCUCUCUCUCUAGAAACCCUCUCUAAAGGCAAGGGAGGAGCUAAGAGGUAGAUUUUGGUGGAGAGUUUGGAGGUUUUGAAGAUCAAGAAGCUUUCCUUCAAGGUGAUCUUGGAAGAUCUUGGGCCAAGGUGAGUUCUUUUGCAAGAAUAUAUCUAGGGUUUGGAUUUCUACCAUAAGAUCUAGAGUUUUGAUCUUCUUGCAAGCUUUAGAACAUUGUAGAGACUUGGAAACACAUGAAAUCCAUAGUUUCUUCAAGGUGCUCUAAUGGUAAAACUCUAGGGUUUGCUCUAAACACCCUAAGAAUGGUUCGAAUGGUUCUAGAUGAGUUCCUAGAUGUCGAACAAACUCUUUUUUGCUUAUUUCAGAGAUCGAUUUGGUGUAUGUUGCUAUGUGACAUAAUAGAGCACCAAAAUUAGGACUUUUGUCAUUGGUGGGUUUAAAUGUAAAUUAACCCUAUAUAAACCUAAUUGCUAGGUAUACGAACACGUUUGUGAAGUGGAUUCGGCGAUUCGUCGAGCCUACGCGAAGUUAUUGAAGAAACGGACCGUUAAAGCUUCGUUUCCGCCUGGAGGGCCGAGGCGACGUCCAAAAAUCACGAGAACGAAUCUGGAGCAUCUUGACAUCAAGUUAUAGAUCUUUAAUUUCCAGAUCGUGAAUAGGUGGCCGUUCGGAUGGCCGCGCGAGAGUUCGGGCCAAAUCGGGUCAUGGGUGCCGCGGGAGACCGAUUGCAUGUGACUACAAGCAAUCGGAAAGCGUUUUGAGAUGGGUUGUGUUUACCGAAGCGACUAGGUUGCCUCUAUGUCUAAGAGUAAUGUGGUUUCAUAUUGAUGUAUGUAAAUGCUAGAUGGAUGCAUGUAGUAAAUGAUAAAGAGAAUGCAUGUGAGCAUGUUCUGUAGAAUGCAUGUCAAUGACAUAAUGUAAAAUGCUAAGUAGAUGCAUAUAACAUGAUAUAGAAAUGCUAGAAUGCAUGACGAGCAUAAUAUGUAAAUGCUAGAAAGUUGCAUGAAUGCAUGAUUAUAUAACGCUAGAAGAGUGCAUAAUAAUACAUAAAUGAUUAGCAUUAUGAGGAUGUGCUAGAUUAUAUAUGCAUGUGAACUGUAGAAUACUCGGUUGGAGAACUAGCAUGUCAAGUAGGUCGAGUGGUAUCGAACCUAGUGUUAAUAAACAUAGGUUGAACAAGUGUGGCAUGUAACCUAGUGUUAAUAAACAUAGGUUGGAUAAGUGUGGCACCGAACCUAGUGUUAUUGAACAUAUGUUGAAUAUGAAUCUAGUGUCAUGAACCUAGGAUGGAUAAGAAUGAAUAUGAACCUAGUGUUAAAGAACAUAGGUUGUGAAAUAAACCUAGAGUUAAAGUAAACCUAGGUUAUGUGAUAAAGCAUCAAGCCUAGAGUCAAUGGGACCUAGGAUGGAAAGGAUAUUGGACCUAGAUAGGUCGGCACUAUAGGGUUAAGACCAACCCUUGAGCUAUGUGGAAAUGGAUUCUGGAAUCCCAAGACUUGGAACACUGAGAGUGGUGUUGGGCAUGUGCGACAAUUUCGCCGCGGGAUGGUUAAGCCGGUUUGUGGAUUAUACCGCCGGUUAACUUGAGCCAUUGUCGAGGCGUGUGCGACGAUUUCGCCGCCAGGUGGCUAAGUCAUAGAGCGCGGUGGGCUAUGGUUGGCUGAGGUGCAUGUGAGAGUUUCUUUACCUCGAGCUGGACAGAAUGCAGAUUAUCCACAGUUGAUUGACUCAAGACCGAGUCGAGUGGCUUAGAUGGCUAAGGUAAAGGUAGCCUUAGAAAAGAAUCGCCAAUGAGCAUAGUGUGACAAGGAAAUAAAGUAAAGAACGGCUAACGAAUAAGAAUAGCUAAUAAAGUAAAGAAUGACUACAAGUAAAGAAUGGCUAAUAAUAUGAAGUAGAAUCAAUUAAUCUACUUGCAUGAGUUACAGGAUUUGCAUAAUGUUCAUAUUGAAUUUCGUGAGGCAUGUUAUCUGUUAGUUGCAUAAUAACAUGAUGAUAUAUAUCUGCAGAUGUUUUCGGACUAACAUGAUUGCAGUGCCUCCUUAGACCUAUUGGUCGAGCUUUUUCCUUGGGUGGCCAUACCCACUGGGAAUCAUGGAGUUGAUUCUCAUCCCACGUUGUUUUGGGGUAUUACAGGUUCGCACGUGAGCGGCGCGGCGGUGCGAGGCAAGGGCAUAGCUCCGUAGAUAGCGCCCUACCCAGAGACCAGAGAUAGCAGUACCCCGAGUCGGCAUAGCCUAGGGGUAGAGGAAAAUGAAAAGAACAAGAUGAAUGGAUUAAACUUCUAAUAAAUUAUUGUAACUUGGAUUGUAUUCGGGAGUUGGAAAAAUGUAAUAGUAAUUGUGUUGUAAAAUGCACCUAAAGAUAAAUGUUGUAAUAACUUAGUUGUUUUAUAUUUUUGAUACUUCCUUAUGCAAUCUUUGGUUGAAAUGUGUUCCUGGUUGGAACUUCGUACAUUGUAUUGAUUGCGACGCCUUGGACGUACAGGGGAGACUCUGUCUGNGAUUGUAUUCGGGAGUUGGAAAAAUGUAAUAGUAAUUGUGUUGUAAAAUGCACCUAAAGAUAAAUGUUGUAAUAACUUAGUUGUUUUAUAUUUUUGAUACUUCCUUAUGCAAUCUUUGGUUGAAAUGUGUUCCUGGUUGGAACUUCGUACAUUGUAUUGAUUGCGACGCCUUGGACGUACAGGGGAGACUCUGUCUGCGGUACAGGGGAAACCCUGUCCAUUCGGCGAUCUGUUGGCGUGCCCGAACUCAAACAAAUAGGCGGGGCACGGAGUGUGACAUCUUCUUUAUGGGUUCUACAGCUUUCACAUGGAGUUCUAAGAAACAGCAAAUCGUUGCCCUAUCAACGUGUGAGGCUGAAUAUGUUGCUGCAGUAUCUGGAGUUUGUGAGGCAAUAUGGUUAAGAAACGUACUACAAGAAUUGGGUUAUACUCAAAAUUCUCCUACUCCAAUAUUUAUUAUUGAUAAUAAAUCAACUAUCGAGUUAUCUAAAAAUUCAGUGCAUCAUGGAAGAAGUAAACAUAUAGGCACAAGAUAUCAUUUUCUUCGUGAAGAAGUAAAAGAAAAGGACGAGUUGAAUUAAUUCAUUGCAACUCUGAGGAGCAGAUAGCGGAUAUUUUUACCAAGCCAUUACAAUUAGAAGGUUUUCAGAAAUUUAGAGAAAAACUUGGAAUUCGAAAAUGGUAAAACCAAUUCAAAAAAAAAAGAAGAAAAUAAUAUGUAUAUUGUCGAGUGUAGGACUUGAACCCAUGACCAGCAAGCGUAGAUUUUUGUAGCUUGCUUCCUCUAACAUGCAAGCUAUAUCAACAAGUUCUAAUUGUUACAAGAAAGUAGUUAAUAUUGUUGAUGCAUCCAGUUGAUGGUGAUAAUUAAUAAUUGGAGAGUUGACUUGUUGACCACUGGUAGUUAUGAAGUAUAAGUGAAAUGGGUGGUUUGGAGGUGUUGACCAAUGCAUGAUGUAGUUGACAUAAGUAACUAUUUUUGAAAAGACAUAUAUAUCUCUUGAAUAUAAAAGAGAGGAUACUUGAAGUAUGAAAAGACAUGUCUCUUGGUUAAAAAUGUUAGGUCCUAUGUGUUGGCAAGUUUCGUGGGUCUAGUCGGAGUCUUGAAGAAGUUCGGAGCGGAGUAUUGAAGAUCGAAGAAUCCAAGACUUCGAAGAAUCGGAAAGGAUGCAAAACACGUAAAACAUGAAUCACGAUGCGUAGGUAAGCUUUAAAUCUUGUUUAUGGUGAUUCAUACUUAAUUAUAGAUCUUAGAAUCAUGUUUUCAAGUUAUAAUUGAUUNUUUUUGGGUGCCCUGGUUGUGCGCUUUUUUGUUAAGUGAUUCUCUUUUCUAAUGUUCCACUAAUGGCUGAGGUGCCUGAGAUGGAGAGAAUUGGAGGAUACUUAGAAGCGCGAUGGGAGGCCCAACAGGUGCGCUCCAAGUUGGAGUUUUCCCACGUAAAUCUCGGUGUGCUUUUUAUUUUCCGCAUUUAUUUUUAUUGCAUCGAGAUUUGUGGUUUUUGGCCGUUCACCUAUUCACCCCCCUCUAGGUGAUAGAUACAAUCUAGAUAGAUCCUUGGGCUACUCAAAACUUUCAAAAAAGACACUUUAAAUUAAAAAGAUGUGUCUAUUGAAUUGGGACACUUUAAAUUUGAAAGGGUGUGUCACUUGGUUGGUUUUGGAAGUCUCUUCAUACCUAUAAAUAUUGAAUGGAGAGUGAUCUUUUAAACAAGUUGAUAUUUAAACUAAGAAGAAAAAUAAAAAUAUAGAGAAUAAAGUGAUAGUGAGGGUGUUCUAUAAAAAUUUACUUCAAGAAUACUGUCAGAAGAUGAAAAUGCCGCUGCCACAAUAUCGCACUUAUCAAGAAGGACCUAUUCACGUUGUGGAAUUUUAUUCGUUUGUCCAAUUUAAAAUUCAACUUAUAUGGGUGAUAUGAAAAAGUCAAAGAAGAAAGCUAAACAAGAUAUGGCACAUUUUGCUUUUAAGAGUACUACAUGUAUGGUUUCUCUUGAUCAAAGAAAUAUUUAUUUACAGAAACUUACAAAAAAUUUGGAGAAAGAAAAUAUGAUAUUAAAUAUGGAGAACAAAUCCCUAGAGAACGCAGUCAACGAGCAGGCCUCCACAAUUAGAAGUUUGAUUUCAGACAAGAUAGCGUUACAGGAAAGACUUCAAGAUUAUGAAGAUCUGAUCGAAGAUGACGAUAAUAGUUGUACAUAAACAAACCUAAGGGAGAAUGUUAGAUUAUAACUUUAUUUAUUAGUUUUUAUUUAUUUCUUAUUAUGAAAGGUUGUGUCCCUUCGUAAGGUUGUGUCUCUUUAUUUAAAGUUGCGUCUUCUUGUUUAGGGUUGUGUCCUUUGGUGAAAGGAUGCUUGUUUUCAUGAAAUGUUGCAUCGUUUUGUGCUCUAUAAAUAGAGAGCAUAUUACUUGUUGUGUAUGAGUAUGGAUCAAAUUGUAUUAAUAAGUUCUUGUGUACUAAAGUUUAGUUAUAUUUAAUAAAGUUGGUUGUUCUAGUUUUAAGCACUUUUGUAGUUCCUUUAUUAAUUUACAUUAGCCCACCAACAGUGAUAGCUUGUAGAUAUUUAAUUGAGCAUGAUAUAUUAUGCUUAUGCAUAAUAUAUAUAGUGUUUUGAUCUUUACUAGUAUAAAGAUUGUUGGCUUUGUUUUAUUAUUUACAUAUGGGUUCAUUUGGUUACUUGGUUGGGACGAUAAUAGAUAGAUAGCAUGCAUGUUUGGACUUAGGCUUUAUGUUAUGGUAUUUUAACAGUGUGGCAUAUAGUUACUUGAUGUGUUAUGGUCAAGGGAACUAUGUGAUAUAAUUAUGGUUAGUUUAUGUGGUGCUUAAUGGCAAGUGGGUUUAAAAGUUUAUGCAUGUCAGUAUGUGGACAUGUGGUUUUACAUUGCUAUGGGAUCGUCUGAGGUUAUUUAUAUUGUGCUGGGACAUGUUUAUAUAUAUAGGUUUUACGGUACGGUACAUACUAGUAUAUGUUCAUAUGAGGAUAUGUAUAUUGUGCUGAUUAUUGUCAAUAUGGUAGGAUAUGUGUAUAUGUUAUGGAAUAAUAUUAUUAUGCUAGGGGCAAUGGGAUUGUGUAUUAUGCCUCGGCCACUGUGACAGUGUAUUCUAAUAUUUUUUUAUCAUAGUUUCACUAUAGCCUACAAGCCACAUUGAGCUUAACAG
rnacentral:lncRNA from 1 species